CCGCCGCCGUGAGGCUCCGGAGCGGCUCGGGCGGGCCGGGCUCCUUCAGCUCGCCGCCAUGGGGGCAAGGAGCGGCUCGGGCGGGCCGGCCUUCUUCCUCAGCUCGCCGCCAUGGGGGCAAGGAGCGGCUCGGGCGGGCCGGGCUUCUUCCUCAGCUCGCCGCCAUGGGGGCAAGGAGCGGCUCGGGCGGGCCGGGCUCCAUCAGCUCGCCGCCAUGGGGGCAAGGAGCGGCUCAGGCGGGCCGGGCUCCCUCAGCUCGCCGCCAUGGGGGCAAGGAGCGGCUCAGGCGGGCCGGGCUCCCUCGCCAUGAGGGGCCGCCGCCGCCAUGAGGCCUUCAGCCGGUGGGGGGAUCGCGGUGACCCGCAGCUGUCGGUGGCCGGCAGCAGCCCUGAGGUGGCCCGACCUUGUCGUGUGUGAAACGCCCAAGCUGUGCUGUGCUGUGCUGGGACAGCCAAGGAGGCUCUCCAGGAGGGCACUUGAACCUGUGGAGAGGAGAUGAGAAGGAAUAACCUGCCCGUGAGAGACAGGGAGAUCUCUGGAGCCACGCGGGUGAGGUAAAUUGUUGGUGUGAGGCUUGCUGGAGCAGCAGGAGUGGUCAGAAGUAAAGCUGUCGAUGCUGCUUUGAAGAUCCUUGUUUGAAAGGUAUUGAGAAGAUGGAAACCUGAAGCCCACAGUUUAAAUGGGGCAGCUGGAGAAGAAUUUGUUUUCAGGAUGUGGAUGUAGGAAUUGGAAACAUCAAAGGUGAUUUGGGGCAAAGUAUAGCAAGAAUUAUGUGUAGAGUUUAUUGUUGAUCUCCUCUCAUUGCUUUUUUGGAAAUACAUUUUUAUAUGACCUCAAUUAAACGUAUUUAUAUUUAAGCUUGCUCAGUUUGCUUUUCAUUGUCUUACAAGGCUGUUGGAUGCAGCAGGAUUUGAGUGAAGACUGGAGAGGCUGUAGUGAGGCACCAGCUCUCAUCCCUAGGCCUGGGGGGAAAUGAGCCCACAAAGGAAGGUUGGAAAAGGCUGAUGGAUGUGUAAAAUACAUCAGAACUGGUGGGGAGGUGUGGUAUCGGCAGAAGAAAUGCAGCACUCAAUAUGAGUGAUCAGCAAAUCUCAAAACUUUAUUGAUAGGCACAUACAUUUAUAUUGGUGUUAAUGAGGCUAAUACAUAUUGCAAAAGGAGAGCUCAUUAUUGGUUAGUUACUUAUCAGCUAACUAUGCCUACCUUAACAUUCUUGUGACUACUAUGUUGCAGCUGUCCACAUCUUUUCUUCAUAUUUCUAACUAACAAUCCUCUCCCCCAUCCUGAUGUUGCACCAAGGGCACAGCGCCCUUGCCUGAUUUAGACACUGACUGCUGGCUCCUAUACCUAUCUCCUUCUUCCUUAACUAACGGUAUUAUAUCAGUGUGACCUUUGUCAACUAGCCAGCUGUUCACAAAAUCCUCCACAGGGAGGGACAGACAGGGCUUCAGACAAAAAUGGUAUUUAAAUGCAAAAGCUGGAACAAAAGGAGUAAUUUGCUUUCCAAAAUGAGAUUUGGAUCCCUUUGGAUUCCUUGCAGUCUUCUAGGAAACCCUGACUUUGUAAAAUAAUCCAGACUCCUUAAAUGUCCCUGGCACUGUUAGUUUAGCCAUGAGCCCUUCUGCCACCUGAAUAUCCAGAGCUUUGAAUGCACUUUUUUUGUACUGCACAUGGGAAUACUUGUUAAAAUACUAAUCACUGGGGAAUAAAAGUUUUUCCUGGUUGAA